AUCCGGUGAGAAUGAAUAGUUAUGUGAGAAUAAAUUAAUAUGUGAGAAUAAAUCAUAACCGUUAGAUCAAGGAAAUCUAAGGGCUGCGAUCUUGCCAAACUCUAAUAACCAAACGCAUAACUUCAAGCGUGAAAAACAACAGCUAAAUGGGGAAAAUUGAAAACCCAUCUCUCUCUUCAUCUAACAAUUUUUUGCGAGCAAAAAUCUGAAGUUUUCUCUCUUCAUCGAUUGAUUCAUCCAUCAAAAUUUUGUUCAAUUCAUCAAAUUUGGGUGCUCCUCAAUCGUUCAAUUCAUCAAAUUUGGGUGUCGCUCAAUCGUUCAAUACAAUCAUUAUCAGAUACAUUUAUACAAAGAACAAAGAAUCUGAAUGAUGAGCUUUAUGAAUUGCACCAAAUAAUGAAUCGAAAUGUACAAGAAGUCCUUGGUGUUGGCGAAAAGUUGGACCGGAUUGGCAAUAUUGGAAGCGUCAUUGGAGACCAAAGUCGUGGUGACUUCUAUCUUCCUAAUUGGAACUAUGAAUUAGAAUUUUCUUAGAACUAUUUUUGAAAUCAAGGAAAGUUAUCAAACAGACUAUUUGAAGUCAUUAGCUAUGGCAAGAGUUGUUGGAUUGUAAUUCCUUUGUACUUCUCAUCAUAUGUUUGUAUAGAUAUACUAUGUAUGAGCGUUUGUAGUUAAUAAAA